rnacentral:rRNA from 1 species
GACGAACGCUGGCGGCGUGCCUAAUACAUGCAAGUUGAGCGCUGAAGGUUGGUACUUGUACCGACUGGAUGAGCAGCGAACGGGUGAGUAACGCGUGGGGAAUCUGCCUUUGAGCGGGGGACAACAUUUGGAAACGAAUGCUAAUACCGCAUAAAAACUUUAAACACAAGUUUUAAGUUUGAAAGAUGCAAUUGCAUCACUCAAAGAUGAUCCCGCGUUGUAUUAGCUAGUUGGUGAGGUAAAGGCUCACCAAGGCGAUGAUACAUAGCCGACCUGAGAGGGUGAUCGGCCACAUUGGGACGGGGACACGGCCCAAACGCCUACGGGAGGCAGCAGUAGGGAAUCUUCGGCAAUGGACGAAAGUCUGACCGAGCAACGCCGCGUGAGUGAAGAAGGUUUUCGGAUCGUAAAACUCGGUUGGUAGAGAAGAACGUUGGUGAGAGUGGAAAGCUCAUCAAGUGACGGUAACUACCCAGAAAGGGACGGCUAACUACGUG